UGGUUCUGGCAUCGAUGAAGAACGCAGCGAAAUGCGAUAAGUAAUGUGAAUUGCAGAAUUCAGUGAAUCAUCGAAUCUUUGAACGCACAUUGCGCCCGCUAGUAUUCUAGCGGGCAUGCCUGUUCGAGCGUCAUUUCAACCCUCAGGCCCUGCCUGGUGUUGGGGUCCUGCAGUCUGCAGGCCCUGAAAUACAGUGGCGAGCCUCCUAUAGUCUCGAGCGUAGUAUUAUACGUCGCUCUGGGUGCUUCGGGGGAGCUCCGCCGUGAAAUCCUUCUAUAAAGUUGACCUCGGAUCAGGUAGGAAUACCCGCUGA
rnacentral:misc_RNA from 1 species